rnacentral:rRNA from 1 species
CUCCUACGGGAGACAGCAGUAGGGAAUCGUUGCGCAAUGGGCGAAAGCCUAGACGCAGCCAUGCCGCGUGAAUGGAUGAAGGUCUUAGGAUUGUAAAAUUACCUUUCACGCGGGGAAGAUAACUGACUUGUACCCGCAGAAGAAGCUCCGGCUAACUUCGUGCCAGCCGCCGCGGUAAUUC